GACGUAGGAGGCGAGCGUUGUCCGAAUUCAUUGGGCGUAAAGAGCGCGCAGGCGGCUUGGUAAGUCGGAUGUGAAAUCUCGGAGCUUAACUCCGAAACUGCAUUCGAUACUGCCGUGCUUGAGGACUGGAGAGGAGACUGGAAUUCACGGUGUAGCAGUGAAAUGCGUAGAGAUCAUGAGGAAGACCAGUGGCGAAGGCGGGCCUCUGGACAGUUCCUGACACUGAGACACGGAAGGCCAGGGGAGCAAACGGG
rnacentral:rRNA from 1 species